AUUGAACGCUGGCGGCAUGCCUUACACAUGCAAGUCGAACGGCAGCACGGGUGCUUGCACCUGGUGGCGAGUGGCGAACGGGUGAGUAAUACAUCGGAACAUGUCCUGUAGUGGGGGAUAGCCCGGCGAAAGCCGGAUUAAUACCGCAUACGAUCUACGGAUGAAAGCGGGGGACCUUCGGGCCUCGCGCUGUAGGGUUGGCCGAUGGCUGAUUAGCUAGUUGGUGGGGUAAAGGCCUACCAAGGCGACGAUCAGUAGCUGGUCUGAGAGGACGACCGGCCACACUGGGACUGAGACACGGCCCAGACUCCUACGGGAGGCAGCAGUGGGGAAUUUUGGACAAUGGGCGAAAGCCUGAUCCAGCAAUGCCGCGUGUGUGAAGAAGGCCUUCGGGUUGUAAAGCACUUUUGUCCGGAAAGAAAUCCUUGGCCCUAAUACGGUCGGGGGAUGACGGUACCGGAAGAAUAAGCACCGGCUAACUACGUG
rnacentral:rRNA from 1 species